ACACAGCCCCAAAACACUGUAGCAGAGCACGUAGCGCUGAAUGACGAAACGGGAAUGACGUGUUGAACGCGGACCGCUUUGUUCCCAGGAAAAACACAAACAUGACGAUGCCUUCGUUUAACCUUAUUCGGGAAAAGGGCUGCAAAGUGUGCCUAUGUGCAACUUAAAUUAUUGGCUACGACACAAUUUGACAUGGAGAAACACCGUGCAUCCCAAAAUACAGUACGGUACCAAAUUUAGAAUAGAGGAAACCCAUUCCCCUUAGUUUGUUUGUUACGUUCUUGUUGAAAGAAGCACGGAACCGUCCAGACCCACGGCGCAACUCACUUUUUAGCUGGCACCACCUGCACAUGCGUCCUACUAAACGAAGCACCACCUGCGCAUGAGUCCCACAAAACGUCCCUCAAAGGUCGCCCGUGAUUGCAUACACAGAACUUUUAAACCAGCAGCAAAGAUUACACAACCAUUGGCCUACAGACCACAUCACAUGAUCCAGUUCCUGCAUUGAAGUAAAAAUAAUGCCCAGUCAAGCUGCCACAACUGGGUGAUUUUAUGGGCAAUAUAGAGUCUUGGAGAACCUCUGCUGAUUUAUGGGAAAAACAGGAGCACUUUUGAAAUGCCUGCAGUCAGCUACUGCCUCUUUUCACUGUGCAGUUCAUUGGCUGUGCAGCGCAGUCAUUGCCCUGGAGGACCGCACCAGUUGCACAGCUGGCACAGGUAGACUGCAGGUGCCCAACCAACUGAGACACACUUUUGCUAAAUGAGGAUAGGAUGCUCUGCCAAGCAAAACCUUCCUUCCCUGGGUAACACUAUGACCGAUUAUGCGUCGCACUGUGUGGCUACCAGCUAUUCCACCUCAGGCAUGAUCAAGACUUAAUACGAUCCAAAAUGUGAAAGGCUUAAAAUUAAAGUGAGUGAAUGAAGAGGUCUGCAUUGACCACAUUCUGCUUUUUUGUGCUUUGUCACGUGUGAGAUCAUCUAGAUUUUAAAAAAAAUCUAAAUGAGCGAUAUGGAAAUGUUAUUUAACGAUUAAAUGGGAUAACUGGUUGAUAGGCCUCUUCUGAGAAAAAAAGACUGAUAUUGAAAGCACCCACUUAAGUGGCGCCUUGACAGUAAUAGUUAAGGUCUAAUGUCUAGACUCGUUAUACUGUGUAGCCUAUAGGAGGGUUCUUAUACGCCAUAAAACGGAUAUUGUUUUGAUUUAGCAUGUUACAUAACUGUACCUGUGCCGUGUCCUGAACUCUCCUACAAUAAAGAAUGAAAUUCUUUCGAGCAUUAAAAGAGGAUUCCGUCAAAGCCUA